rnacentral:rRNA from 1 species
CUACGGGGUGCAGCAGUGAGGAAUAUUGGUCAAUGGGGGCAACCCUGAACCAGCGACGCCGCGUGAAGGAUGACAGGGCUUUGCCCCGUAAACUUCUGUCGGGAGGGAAAAAAGGACUGUUUGGCGGUCUGGGAUUGUACCUCUAAAGGAAGCACCGGCUAACUACGUGCCAGCAGCCGCGGUAAUACGUAGGGUGCAAACGUUGUCCGGAAUUACUGGGUGUAAAGGGUGCACAGGCGGUUUUGUGCGUCAGAGGUAAAAUCCCACAGCUCAACUGUGGACCUGCCUUUGAUACGGCGAGACUUGAGUACAAGAGAGGAUGAUAGAAUUCCUGGUGUAGCGGUGAAAUGCGUAGAUAUCAGGAGGAAUACCAGUGGCGAAGGCGGUCAUCUGGCUUGUAACUGACGCUUAAGCACGAAAGCAUGGGUAGCGAACAGGAUUAGAUACCCGAGUAGUC